CCGAUCAUGAUUUUCCUACCCCCACAGGGAAAGGUCCGUCCCU
rnacentral:tRNA from 1 species